AUUGAACGCUGGCGGCAUGCUUUACACAUGCAAGUCGAACGGCAGCACGGGUGCUUGCACCUGGUGGCGAGUGGCGAACGGGUGAGUAAUGCAUCGGAACGUGCCCAUGAGUGGGGGAUAGCCCGGCGAAAGCCGGAUUAAUACCGCAUACGCCCUUAGGGGGAAANCGGGGGAUCUUCGGACCUCGCGCUAUUGGAGCGGCCGAUGUCGGAUUAGCUAGUAGGUGAGGUAAAGGCUCACCUAGGCGACGAUCCGUAGCUGGUCUGAGAGGAUGAUCAGCCACACUGGGACUGAGACACGGCCCAGACUCCUACGGGAGGCAGCAGGUGGGAAUUUUGGACAAUGGGCGCAAGCCUGAUCCAGCCAUGCCGCGUGAGUGAAG
rnacentral:rRNA from 1 species